rnacentral:misc_RNA from 1 species
UAAUAAGUGUUUUAUGGCACUUUUUAAAUCCAUAUCCACCUUGUGUGCAAUGUCAGUCGAUCUUCUUUUCAUGGAGAUCGACCAAACAUCAACCUUUAUUUUUUAACUCUUUGUCUGAAAAAUAUUAUGAAUAAACAAUUCAAAAUA